GUUUAGUGAUGGGGGAAAGGCUUGGAGGGAAGGAAAGGUGGGAAGAGAGAGAGAGAAUAGGAGAAAAGGAAAGAGCAAAGAGACAGACAGACACAACCCAGCAAAGAGAGGAGAUAUGAAAGGGUUUAGAGGUAUGGGGAAAGAAAGGUUGAAAGAAUAGGAAGAGAGGAAGAAUAGAAGGAAAAAGAAAGAGUAAAGAGACAGGCAGACGCAACCCAACAAAGAGAGGAGAGAUGAAAGGGUUUAGAAGUAAGGGAAGGCAAGGUUGAAAAAAUAGGAAGAGAGGAUGAAAAGAAGGAAAGAAAGAUUAAAAAGACAAACAGACAGCCCGACAAGGAAGGAAAAGACGAAAGGGUUUAGUGGUACGGGAAGGCAAGGUUGAAAGAAUAGGAAGAGAGAUAGAAUAGGAGGAAAAGGGUUGAAGGAAUAGGAAGAGAGGAAGAAAAGAAGAAAAGAAAGAUUAAAAAAUACAGACAGACAGCCCGACAAGGAGGGAAAAGACGAAAGGGUUUAGUGGUACAGGAAGGCAAGGUUGAAAAAAUAGGAAGAGAGAUAGAAUAGGAGGAAAAGGGUUGAAGGAAUAGGAAGAGAGGAAGAAAAGAAGAAAAGAAAGAUUAAAAAGACAGACAGACAGCCCAACAAGGAGGGAAAAGACGAGAGUUUACUGGUGGGAGAAUGCAAAGACUACUAAGAUUUUUGGCCCACAAGAAUUUAGACCAAUGGACAUUCACACAGUGCUUGGGUUAGACAAGUGGAAGGACAUGAGGCGACAUAUUAAGCAUGAAAUUAUCUUAGGAAGUCUUAGAACCAAAUUACAGAACCAGUUGCAAUAGUUAAAGAAUUAGUUAUUAGCACCAAUGAUGAAUGCUGGAGGGAACUGACUUGAGUUUCUUUAAUUUUGGAUUUCUUGUUUAUCUAUUUGAAUUUCUUUGAUCUAUUUGACGGACUUUGUUUUAUCUAUUUGACUGACUUUGUUUUAUCUAUUUGACUGAGUUUGUUUUAUCUAUUUGACUGACUUUGUUUUAUCUAUUUGACUGACUUUGUUUUAUCUAUUUGACUGACUUUGUUUUAUCUAUUUGACUGACUUUGUUUUAUCUAUUUGACGGACUUUGUUUUAUCUAUUUGACUGACUUUGUUUUAUCUAUUUGACGGACUUUGUUUUAUCUAUUUGACUGACUUUGUUUUAUCUAUUUGACUGACUUUGUUUUAUCUAUUUGACUGACUUUCUUUUAUCUAUUUGACGGACUUUCUUUUAUCUAUUUGACUGACUUUGUUUUAUCUAUUUGACUGAGUUUGUUUUAUCUAUUUGACUGACUUUGUUUUAUCUAUUUGACUGACUUUGUUUUAUCUAUUUGACUGACUUUGUUUUAUCUAUUUGACUGACUUUGUUUUAUCUAUUUGACUGAGUUUGUUUUAUCUAUUUGACUCUUUGUUUUAUCUAUUUGACUGACUUUGUUUUAUCUAUUUGACUGACUUUGUUUUAUCUAUUUGACUGACUUUGUUUUAUCUAUUUGACGGACUUUAUUUUAUCUAUUUGACUCAACCUUCUCUUUAUCUAUUUGACUUGUGUUUAUAUUUUAUCUAUUUGACUUGUGUUUGUCUAUUACUUGAAUCUAUUUGACUUGUGUUUGUCUAUUACUUGAAUCUAUUUGACUUGGGUUUGUCUAUUACUUGAAUCUAUUUGACUUGAUCGAUGCAGUAAAUUUAGGGCAUUUUAUAUAUCUCUUUAUCAUUUAACUCAAACUUUUGUCUCCAUUAUCCUAAGCAAACAUAAAUGGGAUAAAAAAUGAUGAAACAAAUAUACCAAUACAAUAAUGAAAACCACGGCAAUGUGUAAAUAAUAUCAAAUGAAAUAUAUUUUCAACCCGGUAGCAGCGACGGGCCAAAUUUGUGGCUUUACCGUGUAGCAGCGACAGGCCAAAUAUGUGGCUUUACCGUGUAGCAGCGACGGGCCAAAUUUGUGGCUUUACCAUGUAGUAGCGAUGGGCCAAAUUUGUGGCUUUACCGUGUAGCAGCGACGGGCCAAAUUUGUGGCUUUACCAUGUAGUAGCGAUGGGCCAAAUUUGUGGCUUUACCGUGUAGCAGCGACGGGCCAAAUUUGUGGCUUUACCGUGAAGCAGCAAACAGGCCAACUUUGUGCCAUGGUAUAACCCCAAAAAAAUAGAUGAUACAUAAACUGAUCACAAAUGCGUUGAUAUAUAUUAUGAAAUGGUUUGUGUGAGGGGUGAUUUUUUUCUCAUUUUCUCGCUUAGAGGGACCAUUAAGAAACAUGAUCCCCGCUGCUACCGGGUUAAAGUCAUGGUUCUCCUGCCCUUCCAUUGUUCGUGCUAAGAAAAAACAGGAAAAUCAAAUCAGCUCCCAACAAGUUAAUAAUGAGAGAGAGAGAGAGAGAGAGAGAGAGAGAGAGAGAGAGAGAAUGAUCAUGUCGACAGGUUAAUGAAUGAGUAAGUUCCAUCACCUCACCUGUUGCCAUUACUCGUGCUGAUGAUGUUACCUGUGUGUGUGUGUGUGUGUGUGUGUGUGUGUGUGUGUGUGUGUGUGUGUGUGUGUGUGUGUGUGUGUGUGUGUGUGUGUGAGAAGAAAAGAGAGUGAAGAGAGAAGAGAAAGAGAGGAAAAGAGAGAAAGGAGAAAAAAUAAACAAAAGAAAAGAAGAAGAAAAAGAAAAUGAGGCAAAGAAAGGAAUAACAGAGAGAGAGAGAGAGAGAGAGAGAGAGAGAGAGUGUGUGUGUGUGUGUGUGUGUGUGUGUGUGUGUGUGUGUGUGUGUGUGUACCGAGACCCCCAAACCACACAUACACACAUAACCCAUCCAUUCAUUUGUCAGUAUCCAUAAUCAGUGUCAACAUCCUCAUUCAUGUCCACUGUACACACACACACACACACACACACACACACACACACACACACACACACACUAACGCAAACACACAUCCACACACACACACACACACAUACAUCCGCCCUGUGUUGCCGUAAGACUAGCAACAUAGCGUAACACCAACCCAACGCAACACAGACUAACCCCAAGGCGACCCAUGCAGUGUUAGUGUUGGUGUAGGGCGGUGAGGGAGGGAAGGAGGCAGGGUGGGGGCGGAGGGCAGGCAUGGGGGUGGGUGUGGAGGCGUGGAGGGUAGGCCAAGCGAAGCACAACAAGCCCAAGCAGCCCAAGGUGGGGUAUAAAUGAAAUAAAACAACUUGGUUCCAUUCACGAUUAGCUGCAUGUAUUUAAAAAAACGGAUAAUUCUAUACAGGUAUAAAAAAAAUGUAUUGACUUAGAAAAAAACAAAACUUGGGGGUGACAUUCAGUAAAAAAAAAAAAUUACUAUAUAUAUAUUUAGUAUGUAUAUAUAUAUGUAUAAAUCUAUGGAUGUAUAAAUAUAUAAAAAACGAUAGUAGGACAAAGAUAAACAUAUGCGUGUGUAGUGCUUGCGGCUGGCCACGGACUAGCCCCUUACCUCUAGGACUAAAUAGCAAGGACUCACUUUUCUACAGAGGAAAAUUGAGACUGCCAAGUAUGCGUCAAGGGUUGCUUAGGCUUGUAUAGGACCUCCUCCCUCCCUCCCUUCCUCACCCCCUCACCCUUUCUCUCUCUCUCUCUCUCUCUCUCUGGUGUGUGUGUGUGUGUGCGUGUGUGUGUGUGUGUGUAAUAGAACGGCUAGCGAAAGGAAGAUAAGGAACUGGAGGAAAAGAAAAGGAUAAGAAGGAGAUGAAGGAGGAGGAAGAGGAAUAUAGAUGCAGUGUUGGUAGAAUUAUUGGUAUAGCGAGGCGAAGAGUAAUUUUAGGGAAAGGUUAUGGUAAAAAUAGCUUGAAAACACAGGCAUUGAAUACAGAGGUGAGUGAGUGAGUGCUGAUGUGAGUGAGUAAGGAAAUGAAGGAGGAGGAAGAGGAGGAGGAGGAGGACAAGGAAUACAAAUGAGGUGUUGGUAGAAUUAUUGGUAUAGAGAGGCGAAGAGUAUUUUUAGGGAAAGGUUAUGGUAAAAAUAGCUUGAAAACACAGGCAUUGAAUACAGAGGUGAGUGAGUGAGUGAGUGAGUGCUGGAGUGAGUGAGUGAGUGAGUGCUGGAGUGAGUGAGUGAGUGAGUGAGUGAGUGAGUGAGUGAGGAACCAUAACACAAACAAGCACACACAUAAAAAAAAGAAAUGGGAAUAGAAGAUAAAAAGAAAUACAGGAAGGAAGGAAAGAGGAAAGAACUUCAGAGAGAGAGAGAGAGAGAGAGAGAGAGAGAGAGAGAGAGAGAGAGAGAGAGAGAGAGAGAGAGGCAAAAGGAAGAAAGAAAAAAAGAAUGAAUAGGAGAGAGAAACAGGUGGAGGUAUGGAGGUAAGGGGUGGGUUGUGGCUAUCAUGCAACAUACAACACACACACAUGCAGCCGGAACACAACAACAGCGGCGGCAGUCCGGGCGGAAGUGACGCAAUACACAGCAAUGGAGGUGGAGGUGGUGGUGGUGGUGGUGACACAGAGCAAGGUGGUGGUGAGGCGCUGGCUGCUGGUGAUGAGGGAGGUGAUGACAUGACCUUCACCUCACCUCACCUCACCUCCCAUGACCUUUGACCUUGUGGAGUUUAUACAAGGACAACAACACCUCUCUCUCUCUCUCUCUCUCUCUCUCUCCGUCUUUUCUCUCCUCAAUCUCUCUCAUUCUCUCUUUCCUUCCAUGACCUUACACGGUAUACUCAAAUAAACACAGCAGUCCCGUUUUUUACGCAAGAUCUCCUCCUCUCUCACCUUCCUUCCCUGCCCCAUCUACACCUUCUCCCUUACUCCCUAUACCUGUUCUGUGCUGGUGUGAAAGAUGUGGUUCUCGUGCCUCUGUAUAUAUUGAUGGUGUAUUUUUUUUAUAGUAAGGAAGUAGCUCAAAGGGGAUAAACAAGGAAUGGAUAGAUAGACAGUGUGUGUGUGUGUAUGUGUGUGAGAUUCUAGUAUUGUUGACGCUGGUUACUAUAUCAAGGAGUCUGGGCAACACAACACUCACACCUACAUUUCACUUCAAAUAAAAUCAACUUUGUGUGAAUAAAUAUCGUACAGUGUAAAACUUUCCAAGCUGAAUGCAAGACGGUUCCAUUCACAGCGCAAAACGAGAGAAUCUUUGCAUUUGAACUGAGUGGUUACGUACAAGCCGUUUUGAGAUCAAGUCAUGCGCUCGACUAUAUAUACAUUAAAUGAGAUAAGUAACGUGUUAAGUACGUAUAAAAAAGGUGAAAUUAAAUAACAACAAUGAUAAUACUCUCAAGUUUGCGUGUUUAGCCAAGUUAUCACAGACCACGAAUUCAGGAUGAGAAUGAAAAUGACUAAACUCGACACAAAUUCACCGUAACCGCCACGCCCUUACGAAUGAUACGACAAAAAAAUCGCUACUAUAAAUUCAUCAUCGCCACCUCUCCGUUAGAAAUGAUAUGACAAAAAAAAAAAAAAAGAUCUCUACAAAUCCAUCAUCUGCGCAUCUCUCUUAUGAAUGACAUGACGGAAAAAAAAACACUAUAAAUUAAUCAUCGCAAACUCUCCCUUACGAAUGACGACACAAAAAAAUCGCUUCUAUAAAUUCAUCAUCUUCGCCUCUCCCUUACGAAUACAAUACGAAAGCAAUUUAAAACAAAGCACCUCAAGUAGUAAAUGCAAUCUUUUCCGCGUCCCCUCCAAGCACCUCCGGAUAAUGGCAGGUACGUACGCAAAUGCAAAAAUUCGUAAGCGUAAAAUAAUGCCUUCGUAAUGUCUUUUGUCGUUAACUUCAUUUGUCGCUUCAGAUGCACGGACGCAGAGAAAACAACCUCUCACUCUGAACUGGUGGCUCGCUGGUCCCUCUCUGGGCUAUGAAUCCGCUGGUCCAGGUUCAAAUCCCGGCCUGGCAUGUGGAAAGCGCUAUCGGAUCACAGGUUUAGCAAGACGCCUCUCCACCCGAAACUGACCUCUCGUUUGGUCAUUCUUCACUUUUCUCUUUCGGUCUAGAUUUGAAUCCCGGCCUGGCAUGUGGAUAGUGCUACCAGAUCACAGGUUUAGCAAGACGCCUCUCCACCUGAAAUUGACCUCUCGUUUGCUCAUUCUUCACUUUUCUCUUUCGGUCCAGGUUUGAAUCCCGGCCUGGCAUGUGGAUAGCCCUACCGGAUCACAGGUUUAGCAAGACGCCUCUCCACCCGAAAUUGACCUCUUGUUUGACCACUCUUCACUUUUCUCUUUCGGUAUAGGUUUGAAUCCCGGCCCGGCAGAUGGAAAGCACUACCGGAUCACAGGUUUAGCAAGACGCCUCUCCACCCGAAAUUGACCUCUUGUUUGACCACUCUUCACUUUUCUCUUUCGGUAUAGGUUUGAAUCCCGGCCCGGCAGAUGGAAAGCGCUACCAAAUCACAGGUUUAGCAAGACGCCUCUCCACCCAAAAUUGACCUCUUGUUUGGCCAUUUUCCACUUUUCUCUUUCGGUCUAGGUUUGAAUCCCGGCCUGGCAUGUGGAUAGUGCUACCGGAUCACAGGUUUAGCAAGACGCCUCUCCACCCAAAAUUGACCUCUUGUUUGGUCAUUCUUCACUUUUCUCUUUCGGUCUAGAUUUGAAUCCCGGCCUGGCAUGUGGAUAGUGCUACCAGAUCACAGGUUUAGCAAGACGCCUCUCCACCCGAAAUUGACCUCUUGUUUGGCCAUUCUUCAUUUUUCUCUUUCGGUCCAGGUUUGAAUCCCGGCC